GCCAUCGGCAAUAGCACGUUGAAUAUUCCAGUUCCCAAUAGAUCACGGAAGCUAAGCAACAUUGCGCGUGAUUAGUGUACGGAUGGGGGACCACCUGGGAAAUCAUUGGCUUUUCC
rfam:Asian citrus Psyllid, Diaphorina citri - Florida Strain, whole genome shotgun sequence.